AGUGAACGCUGGCGGUAGGCCUAACACAUGCAAGUCGAACGGCAGCACAGUAAGAGCUUGCUCUUACGGGUGGCGAGUGGCGGACGGGUGAGGAAUACAUCGGAAUCUACUUUUUCGUGGGGGAUAACGUAGGGAAACUUACGCUAAUACCGCAUACGACCUACGGGUGAAAGCAGGGGAUCUUCGGACCUUGCGCGAUUGAAUGAGCCGAUGUCGGAUUAGCUAGUUGGCGGGGUAAAGGCCCACCAAGGCGACGAUCCGUAGCUGGUCUGAGAGGAUGAUCAGCCACACUGGAACUGAGACACGGUCCAGACUCCUACGGGAGGCAGCAGUGGGGAAUAUUGGACAAUGGGCGCAAGCCUGAUCCAGCCAUACCGCGUGGGUGAAGAAGGCCUUCGGGUAGUAAAGCCCUUUUGUUGGGAAAGAAAAGCAGCAGGUUAAUACCCCGCUGUUCUGACGGUACCCAAAGAAUGAGCACCGGCUAACUUCGUG
rnacentral:rRNA from 1 species